GACGAACGCUGGCGGCGUGCCUAAUACAUGCAAGUCGAACGCAUUUUCUUUCACCGUAGCUUGCUACACCGACAGAAAAUGAGUGGCGAACGGGUGAGUAACACGUUGGUAACCUGCCCAUCAGCGGGGGAUAACACUUGGAAACAGGUGCUAAUACCGCAUAAUUCCAUUUACUGCAUGGUAGAUGGAUGAAAGGCGCUUUUGCGUCACUGAUGGAUGGACCCGCGGUGCAUUAGCUAGUUGGUGGGGUAACGGCCUACCAAGGCUGCGAUGCAUAGCCGACCUGAGAGGGUGAUCGGCCACACUGGGACUGAGACACGGCCCAGACUCCUACGGGAGGCAGCAGUAGGGAAUCUUCGGCAAUGGACGCAAGUCUGACCGAGCAACGCCGCGUGAGUGAAGAAGGUUUUCGGAUCGUAAAACUCUGUUGUUAGAAAAGAACAAGGAUGAGAGUGGAAAGUUCAUCCCUUGACGGUAUCUAACCAGAAAGCCACGGCUAACUACGUG
rnacentral:rRNA from 1 species